AGGGAUUGCCUUAGUAACGGCGAGUGAAGCGGCAAUAGCUCAAAUUUGAAAGCUGGCCCCUUCGGGGUCCGCGUUGUAAUUUGUAGAGGAUGAUUCGGCGAGGGCUCCCGUCUAAGUCCCUUGGAACAGGGCGUCAUAGAGGGUGAGAAUCCCGUAUGUGAUGGGCUGCCUUAGCCAUGUGAAUCUCCUUCGACGAGUCGAGUUGUUUGGGAAUGCAGCUCUAAAUGGGAGGUAAAUUUCUUCUAAAGCUAAAUACCGGCCAGAGACCGAUAGCGCACAAGUAGAGUGAUCGAAAGAUGAAAAGCACUUUGGAAAGAGAGUUAAAAAGUACGUGAAAUUGUUGAAAGGGAAGCGCUUGCAGCCAGACUUGUCCGCAGUUGCUCAGCCUGUCUCCUGACAGGCGUACUCUUCUGCGGCCAGGCCAGCAUCAGUUCGGGCGGUCGGAUAAAGACCCGGGGAAUGUAGCUCCUCUCGGGGAGUGUUAUAGCCCUGGGUGCAAUGCGGCCAGCCUGGACUGAGGAUCUCGCUUCGGCUAGGAUGCUGGCGUAAUGGCUGUAAGCGGCCCGUCUUGAAACACGGACCAAGGAGUCUAACAUCUAUGCGAGUGUUUGGGUGUCAAACCCAUGCGCGUAAUGAAAGUGAACGGAGGUGGGAACCCUCACGGGUGCACCAUCGACCGAUCCUGAUGUCUUCGGAUGGAUUUGAGUAAGAGCAUAGCUGUUGGGACCCGAAAGAUGGUGAACUAUGCCUGAAUAGGGUGAAGCCAGAGGAAACUCUGGUGGAGGCUCGCAGCGGUUCUGACGUGCAAAUCGAUCGUCAAAUUUGGGUAUAGGGGCGAAAGACUAAUCGAACCAUCUAG
rnacentral:rRNA from 1 species